UAAGUACAAUGUCUUCCAGGCCAAAUAGAAAAUGCAAAGCCACUAAUCCACCUCUGUCAACAGUGUGUAAAAGUUCAAAGAUAUAAAAUAUCAACAUGGCCGCGCACAUCUAGAUGCUACUUAUAGAAAAGCUGCACCUGUACUUUUACUUAUUGCUUUCCAACUAGAUGAUGCUUAUUGACUAUGCCUCUUGAUCAAGUAGCCGACGGCUACUACAAGAAAACUGAAUAAUGGCCGAAAUGAUGGGUGCCGGCACGUUAUGGCAAUUUUUGUUUUUCGAAGGUUUUAGAUGUAAUUGUUCCAAAUAAAUUACGACCUAUAUUCCAAAACCUGGCUCCAUGGUUCAGCAUAAACGUACCAUAAAAUUUAUGAUUUCUUACAAACCCAAGUAGCCGAACAUAAGGCCUAAAAUGUAUUAAUUAAAUUUAAUAAAUUUUCCAUAACACCGAAAAUACCUAAAAAAAAUUUUUUUACAUCUAAAAUCUUAACAAAAACUAAUGAGUUUUAGUGCUAAAGACUCACGUGGACUAGAACUUUGGAAAUAUAUAUAAAUGAAUGUGUAA